GCUCCCUUCUCCCACCACGCAGGCAGGAGUGGUCCACCCCACCCCACAGCUCAUCCCACCGUACCCCAUCCCACACCACGCUGUCAGUUUCACAGCGGUCCUGGAAAUUUCUCUGAGUAGUUUGUCUCUCCUGGUGUGUGUGAGGGGCGUGGUAAAACCAAAUGGCAGCCCUGUGGGUAGAAAAGGGAAAGGUCUGUUCCAAACCGCCAAAGCUGUCUCGGGGAAAGUAGAGAGAAGCAAGAGGGGAAGAUCUCCAAGCAGAAAUCCUCCUGUACGCCAGGCUGAGCUCAUUUCUGGCCAUUCGGACUCCAUUUUGAGGUUUGGGGAGCUGGAGUUUCCUUUGGACCGGACACUAGCACACUAUGAAGAAGACCACGAAUCCUGCCAGCUCCAGGUGUUUCCUCAAAAUCUGUAUCCCAGAACCUUCAGAGCGGCGGCCCUAGGUGUCCCAGCCUCAUAAAGUACUUCAGUUGCUGCCUGCAAGUCUCUAGCCCCAGAAGGUCUCACAGAGCCUUGUCAGCGAGUGAAGCAGCCUGCUCUUCCUAGACUUGGCCCAGCAUCCCAGCUUUCUUGGCUCCCCAAAGAUGUUGAUGCCCCCAGACAACAGGAAGCAGUCUAAAGAAAAUGGCGCCCCCGUUCCUGCCUCACCAGUCACCCCUUCCUAUUCCC